UACGAGGGGGGCGAGCGUUGUUCGGAAUUAUUGGGCGUAAAGGGUGCGUAGGCGGUUUUGUAAGUCUUAUGUGAAAUCUAUGGGCUCAACUCAUAGACUGCAUGAGAAACUGCAGGGCUUGAGUAUGGGAGAGGUGAGUGGAAUUCCUGGUGUAGCGGUGAAAUGCGUAGAUAUGCGGAGGAACACCGAUGGCGAAGGCAAUCCCCCUGGACCUGUACUGACGCUCAUGCACGAAAGCGUGGGGGAGCAAACAGG
rnacentral:rRNA from 1 species